rnacentral:rRNA from 1 species
GACAGAGGGGGCAAGCGUUGCUCGGAAUUACUGGGCGUAAAGGGCGCGCAGGCGGCUCAUUUUGUCAGGCGUGAAAGCCCCGGGCUUAACCUGGGAACUGCGUUUGAUACGGAUGGGCUAGAGUUCGGGAGAGGAGAGUGGAAUUCCCAGUGUAGAGGUGAAAUUCGUAGAUAUUGGGAAGAACACCGGUGGCGAAGGCGGCUCUCUGGACCGAUACUGACGCUGAGGCGCGAAAGCGUGGGGAGCAAACAGG